UGUCAAGGGAUGGGAAUCGAACCCACGACAUUCGCUUACCGGGCAGAUGCCAUGACCACUAGGCUACCCUGGAC